CCUACGGGAGGCAGCAGUGAGGAAUAUUGGUCAAUGGACGAGAUUCUGAACCAGCCAAGUAGCGUGAAGGAUGACUGCCCUAUGGGUUGUAAACUUCUUUUAUAUGGGAAUAAAAUGUGCGACGUGUGCGGGUUUGCGUGUACCAGAUGAAUAAGGAUCGGCUCACUCCGUGCCAGCAGCCGCGGUAAUCCGGAGGAUGCGAGCGUUAUCCGGAUUUAUGGGGUUUAACGGGUGCGUAGGUGGGUUGUUAAGUCAGUCGUGAAAGUUGGCGGCUCAAACGUGGAAUUGCCGUUGAAACUGGCAGUCUUGAGUAGAGUAGAGGUGGGCGGAAUUCGUGGUGUAGCGGUGAAAUGCUUAGAUAUCACGCAGAACUCCGAUUGCGAAGGCAGCUCACUGG
rnacentral:rRNA from 1 species